rnacentral:tRNA from 1 species
CAGAGAAUAGUUUAAUUAAAAUAUUAAUUUUGGAGAUUAUCGAUAGAGGUUGACUCUUUCUCUGA